rnacentral:misc_RNA from 1 species
AACGCACAUUGCGCCCCCUGGUAUUCCGGGGGGCAUGCCUGUUCGAGCGUCAUUUCACCACUCAAGCCUCGCUUGGUAUUGGGCGCCGCGAGUCCCUCGCGCGCCUCAAAGUCUCCGGCUCGGCGGUUCGUCUCCCAGCGUUGUGGCAACUAUUUCGCAGUGGAGUUCGGGUCGUCAGGGCCGUUAAAUCUUUCAAAGGUUGACCUCGGAUCAGGUAGGGAUACCCGCUGAACUUAA